UAUUGGUCAAUGGACGCGAGUCUGAACCAGCAAAGUAGCGUGAAGGAUGACUGCCCUGUGGGUUGUAAACUUCUUUUAUAUGGGUAUANNGUUUUCCACGUGUGGAAUGUUGUAUGUACCAUAUGAAUAAGGAUCGGCUACCUCCGUGCCCGCAGCCGCGGUAAUACGUAGGAUCCGAGCGUUAUCCGGAUUUAUUGGGUUUAAAGGGAGCGUAGGUGGACAGUUAAGUCAGUUGUGAAAGUUUGCGGCUCAACCGUAAAAUUGCAGUUGAAACUGGCAGUCUUGAGUACAGUAGAGGUGGGCGGAAUUCGUGGUGUAGCGGUGAAAUGCUUAGAUAUCACGAAGAACUCCGAUUGCGAAGGCAGCUCACUGGACUGUUGACUGACACUGAGGCUCGAAAGUGUGGGUAUCAAA
rnacentral:rRNA from 1 species